rnacentral:lncRNA from 1 species
CCUCUGCCGCCCCUAGGGCCGCCACCAUCUUCGGGAUCCUCCUCCCCCUCCUGGACUCCUAGCUCGUCGCCGCCCCAAGGGCCGUUGUUGGAGACCUCUGCAGCCGUCGUCGAGGAAAAUCUCUUCCACCCGGACUCCCAGGCAUCUGUCGUCCCUAGGGCAGCCACCGCCAACGGGAUCCGCCUCCUCAUUGCGAACCUUGCACCGGCACUCAGGCCGCCACCGUCUCGGGCCGCCGUCGCCGCCGGAGAAGUCUUCCGCCCGAACUCCCAAGCACUUCUGCCAGACGCCGCUGCUAACGAUACCACCUCCACCCAAUCCCGCCGUCUCCUUGCCAAGGAUACGCUGCCGACGUUUAGGCCACCGCAGUCCGAAGGGACGCCGCCGUCGACUCCAGAACACCUCAGCUACCGCCCUUAA